ACCCGAACGGAUUACCCGAAUGCUCAGCCCGCCAAAGCGAAUCAACUCUCUCUGCUGCUUCAACGCCGCCGAUGACUAAGAGGAGAAUCCGCCGUGUUAAUCUGUGCGAAUCCGUUGAGUGAGAGCAGAAUCCACAACCGCCGGUUGCAUCUUCUCCAACGCCGGUUGGAGCAUCGAAAUCGGAGAGAUUUCGUUCAAUGAAACUCUAAUAUCAUUCUCAUGAUGAUGUUGGAAGGGACCGUGGGUUUAUAAAGGGUUCUGGAGGACAAGAAAAGGGAUGCCUGCCACUCUUAAUCAGCUCCUUGUUUCUUUAGAUGGUUUUGAAGGAAGGGCCAUCGCCUCCACAAACAGACCAGACAUUCUAUAACCUGCGCUUGCACUGCAGUAUCGGAGAGAUGAAGCAAAGACCUCUCGUAGUAAGUCAAGUUCUCCUCUGUUUCUAUCUCACACUCCCCUAUUGAUGCUUUACGGUUUGGUGAAUGAGCUGAAAAAUCAAUGAUGGAGAACCCCUUCGAGAAAAGAAGCUUGAUGUACGCCAGGAAGUGGGUUCGUUUCUUAGAUCUUAUGUUGUGCCUGAAGGCUUUCCCGGGAGUUUUAAUGAGUCUUAUGUUCCUUAUACGACUUGGAGAGCUUUGAAACAUUUCUUUGGUUAAGCUAUGGGUGUUGUUUACUACUCAAACUCUUCUUAAUUCUGUUGGAGCUUCAAGAAACAGUUCUGCUUCUGCUGCUGUUGCCAUCAAUUGGAUCCUCAAGGAUGGUGCUGGGCGUGUUACUUUCUUUGAAGAUAAUAUGAUCAAAGAGCUCUACUUUGCAAACGUUAUUUCAUUUCGUAUGGGUUAUGGUGCAUGUGCAUUUUGCUUAUGACUUCUUUUUUCCUGGCAAUACCUUAUUGUUUUUCCUUAGCAAUUUGUUAAUUUGAGCAUUAAAGUUCGCUUCUGUGCAGCACAUCAAAAAGAGAUAUCAGAUCUGGAGGGAGAGCUAUCAUCUACCAGAAAUCUUCUCUCCACUCAGGCCACUUUAAUUCAUGGCUUAGCAGAUGGAGUUAAGAUUGACGAUGAUAAAGUUUCCGAUGAAUCUCUUGCAAAUGGUUUAUUGAAUUUUGAGGACAACGACCUCUCUGAUCUGUAGAAAUGGGCUGCGGAAUUUCCUGACCACCUUGAUGCUUUAUUAGCUGAAAGAAGGGUAGACGAAGCUCUGGCAGCUUUUGAUGAGGGAGAAAUUUUGGUAUCUCAAGCAAACGAAAAGCAAACUUUGGGCCCUUCUGUACUUUCAACUAGAGGCGGAGAACUUCGGUCAGCAAUAGCAGCUCUUAAAAGGCUUGGGGAUGGUCCUCGAGCCCAUACUGUGCUUCUUGAUGCCCAUUUCCAGAGAUAUUAGUACAACAUGCAAAGUCUUCGUCCAUCUAGCACCUCAUAUGGAGGGGCGUACACUGCUGAACUUUCUCAGCUAUCUCUCAAGCUUCUAGUGACUCGUUGGGAAUCUUUGGGAAAGAGCCAGCAUAUAGUUCUGAGCUCGUGACAUGGGCUACCAAGCAGACAGAGACGUUUUCCCUUCAUGUUAAAAGGCAUGCAUUAGCUUCUUCUGCAGCAGCGGGAGGGCUAAGAGCUGCCGCAGAAUGUGCACAGAUAGCUCUUGGGCAUUGUUCCUUGUUGGAAGCGCGUGGUUAGUCUCUCUCUACUAGAUCGUCUCUACUAGCUAGCUAAAUCUCUCCUUCCUCCUUAAUCCUUCAAGUUCCGGCCAAUAAUCAUCAAAUCUUAGAAGCAGACAAAGCUCUCCAAGCCUCCGAGUUCUUGCCAGAUAGGAUCCACCACAGAGUUUGACCAUGUCCUCUGUUUCCAAGUUGUUUACAACAUUGAAUUUGGCUUCUUCUGCCAACUCCUCUAGUGCAAGCCGUUCCCUGCAUAGCACUUUCAACCUGGCGGCUCUAGUCUCACUUUCAAUUCUAGCUUUCUCUUCACGUUGUCUUGUUUCUAAAAGUUGCUUUGCUGAAUACCUGAAACGGAUUGCUCUGAA